UUGUCCCAGCCUGUGUUUUUCCUGCUGCUAUGCUCCGCUCAAGCUGCAGGAAGUCAGUGGGACAUACAGUAAUCUUCCUCUCAGUUUAGGAGGGCCUUCCUGAGCAUUGGGCUGGCUCUUAAAGGCACGAGAGGACAAA